UCGGGACUCUCUACUGGCUAGUGAUUUUCCGUAUUUAAUUAUAUACGUGAUGCAUGAUGGAAGUAUACUGUUAGUUCAAAUUUGAAAUGUUUUUAAGUUAACGUGCAUAUAAGAUUGUUGAUGGCGGUGUGUGAGAGCGGAAAGGUGGUCGAUGACUUCCUUGGGGAUUAGCCACCCCUAAACCUCCGGAGGGUUAGCUACACCGGUCGGACGGUGCGCAAUCGCAAUGAUGACACGGUUCUGUGUGUGUAGCUAGUGUGUUAAGUUUGGCGCUCUGUGACUGGUAAGGUCAGAUGUUGGUUCUACGGAAUCAGGCCAUCAGUUUGGAUGCAGGUACUGUGCACUGGUGACGGGACAAAAGCGGACGGAGCUGGGUGUGCGGAAUAAGUCCGGUAAACCAUUGUUUGGACUUUGUUCUACAUUCUUUUUCUCGAACUUCGUGUUCCGAAAGUUGUUGAUAGUUAGCUUGCUCAUUCCUUAAA